UAUAAAAAUUGAAGUCCUCACCACAAAUCUGUAAAAAUGUUUCCACUUGCAUUGGAAGACAAAAAUAGAAUAAUUCCAUGUCUUUUUGGACGGAUGCCUAGCUGAAACUAUGCAGGGUUUGACUGACAAGAGGAUGUAGUCUUUGCUGAGAGCACUUUCUUCAAGGUCCUUUUUAGUCUUCAGGAAUUUUUAAGUAGAUGAAUGAAGAGAGGAUUUACGCUAGUUUCCCUUCAUUUUUGUUACCUUUGUCUGCUUUUUUUUGUAACUUUUGUCUUGCGCAACAAAAUCUUUCCAGCUCCUCGGGUUUACUGAAUAUAUAAUCACAAGCGGGUAAAACUGUUUUGUUCUAUGUGACUGAAAGUGCAUGGAAUGGAUUUGAAGCUGGAGAUUUAAGUGUCUUGAAUGAAGACUGUUAUGCUCCUCCAAACCAACAUUGAGGGAAUGGACACACAGAUAAUUUGGCUGAAGAAAAUGAGAUGAGGAUGCUAAAGAGGAAAUAAGGUUGCUUGAAGGAUGAAACUGACCCAUCACUGUACUGUAUAAGUAUUUUCUUGUAUUAACUCAUAGGCUUCAGUAGCUAUUAAAUAUACUAAAUAUAAGUAAUGAUAACUCUAGAUUUUGGAGAAAUAAUGAAGAGCAACUUCAUGUGCCAAAUUAAUCUGUUUAUUACUUGCUAUAGAUUUGAUUCCAUAAACAAAGUGCCUAUCAGCAGAGAUGAGAUCAUAUCUUAAAAUCCAAACAAACUCUGUACUGGAUCCAGGUCUCCGUAAAACAAUGCCUGCCUCCCUCUGACCUGGCUGCUUUUUAAAAGAAGACUUCAGCUCAGUGCCUGUUCCCUGUUUUUUUCUCAGGAAGCAUCAGCUGCCCAGGGAAAGCACAAAGGACACAGAUGAGGGUCUUCAUACAGCGGAAACCUGUAUUUUGGUUCCAUCUCUUUGAUUCAUUGAGGCUAAACUAUUUCACUUUUUUUUUCAGUAAAAACAAAAGUACGUUUGUGACAGAGUUCUUAAACUUUGACUACCAUGGAAUGUAAUGGCCUCAAACUGGGGCCAAACUUUGUUCUGCCUUGCACUUAGGUAACUGCAGUAUUUAUGGUAGCUUGCAAUCACAGUGCAGGCUACCAUUUUUCCCUUUUAAAAAGCUAUCGUUUCUCAGUGCUAACUACAAUAUCUGAGAUACCACAAUUAUGCCUAUACACAGAAAGGGGAAAUAGCUGUAGCACAUCACCUGUUGCAAUGUGGUGAAUGUAGGGAAAUAUAUUGGGGUUUCUGUGAUUACUGUUUUUAUGGAGCCAAAUUCUCCUGUCUGAGGAGAGAAUUUGGUCCAUUGCUGUAACUGUAACGCCUUUCCUAUGAAGUCUUCAGUUCAGCUAUUAAUUUUUUAACUGACGGAUACAUAUGUGUGGGAAGCUACAUAUCAUAUGAAUUGUUCCAAACUAAGUUAGUGACAUGCCUAGAGUCUCAUUUAGUCAUAAGCACAUGUGAGAAUAACACCCCGGAGUGCUGAAGGACACUAUCUUAUUCUAACUAGGCAAUGGUCUCAAACAAUUAAGUUAAAGCAGAUGUGCAAUGAGACCACUUCCUACAGGCACUGUUAAAACAGCAGGUUGGCUUGUCAGGCCUGGAAAAAUUGUGCUGUGUUGGUUUUUUGUUUGUUCCGAUCUGCUCUCUGACUUCCUGGAAUUUGCAGAGUUUAAACUCAAAUAUGUGGCACCUGAAAGCAAAGUAGGAAUAAAUCCCUAUCUUGCCUUGAUGUCAUGAGUUUGCUAUUUAUUUUUUCAGGCAAUGUGCAAUCUGCAUAUGACACAUUGCAAGUGGGAAGAGACAGGUUUCGUCACUGUCUGGUCUCUGAGAUGCUGGGUGCUUGGUGGUCUUGGUGUUGUGGAAACUGAGGGAUAUUUACAGAUGGAUUUGGAUGUAUAAGAUCUGCUGCAAAAAUAGAUGCAAUUUUAAUAUAACCUUACACAAGAGAUUUAUAAAUUCUUCUGCCUUUUACCAGUGAAUUAACUAGGGAUGUUGAAAAGUUAUGUCAAUCUCCAGUUUGCCAAAAGCAGCAGGGAAAAACUGCAGACAGCUUUCUACUCUUCUAGAACUGAUUUGUCAAGCUUUUUCUUUUCUUGAGAUGAGAUUUGCACAGUGGCGUUGAUUUGUUGGUCAUUACACAAAUGUACUACAAAAUCACUGUUCUUUGGCUUAUAUUUUUUUAUGUUAA